rnacentral:lncRNA from 1 species
GAGGGAGGAGGAGGAAGCGCGCCUCGGCCGGCCGCCGCAGUUGGAGUCGGAGCAGGGGGAGCAGUUUCAAAAAAUUAUUAAAAAUCGAGGGAAAAUCCUAGAAACGCUCUGUGGGCCUGAAAACCCCAGAGAGGUCCCAGGCUCCCUGGAAAAGAGGUUUCGGGUGUCCGUAAGGCCUCUCCGGGGUCAGAUGUGGCAGGUGAAUCCUGGUUGAAGGAGAGAGGAAGUGCGGAGGUCCACAACCAUGGAGCUGAUGACAGGAAGACCCCUGAGGCACACACAAUUAUAUCAAGCAGUGACAUUGGAGUCAGCUGUGGGAAUACACUGAAUGGUCUUCACACCCCUGUGGAUGGCGAGGGAGCCAAUGGAGAUUGUAGAAGUGAGAACUGUGUUGCUGCUUCCUCAGGCAAAUGAUUUCUUCUGUAAAUGUCUUCUUGACAUGUCUAUGAAGAGACAUCCUCAGAGCCAAACUGCCUUCAUCUUCAUCAGAUCUGUUUGCAAGAGAUAGUCAUAGCUGACCAUGUUAACUGUGACCUACUUUUAUAUAAGGGGCACAGUGCGUAUCCAGGCACCCCUCCAAGCUAGCUGUAUGAAAAUCUAAUUGUACAAAUUGUGAGUCUGUGAUGGCUAAUCUUGGUUGUCAACUUGAAGACAUCUAGAAUCAACUGAAUCCCAAGCAGCUAGGUGUUGAGAAAUUUUCAUGAUUGAAUCAUCUGAGGUCAGAAGACUCACUCUAAAGCUGGGCUACACCUUCUGAUGGCAUCCCGCAUAAAAGCACACGGAAUAAGGAAAGCUUUGAUUUUUGCCUGCUUGUCCUCACUCUUACUGGCAAGUUCAUCUACUCUGCUGCUGUGGCAUUCUUUCACUGGUGUUAGAACCUACUUCUUCAUGACUGAAGACUAGCUAAGAUAUCCAGCCAUGUGGACUGAAUAACUACUAAAUUUAUGGCCUUUUUUUUGUAGCGAGAGAUA